AUUCCAGCUCCAAUAGCGUAUAUUAAUGUUGUUGCAGUUAAAAAGCUCGUAGUUGGAUUUCUGGUGGGAGCGGCCGGUCCGCCGCAAGGUGUGUACUUGGUUGUCUCCUGUCAUCCUUGUGGGAACUGCUCUGGCAUUAAGUUGUCGGGGUUAGGGAACACAUCGUUUACUGUGAAAAAAUUAGAGUGUUUAAAGCAGGCUUAUGCCGUUGAAUACAUUAGCAUGGAAUAAUAAGAUAGGACUUUGGCGUCUAUUUUGUUGGUUUGCACACCAAGGUAAUGAUUAAUAGGGAUAGUUGGGGGUAUUCGUAUUUAAUUGUCAGAGGUGAAAUUCUUGGAUUUAUGAAAGACGAACUUCUGCGAAAGCAUUUACCAAAGAUGUUUUCAUCA
rnacentral:rRNA from 1 species